rnacentral:rRNA from 1 species
GGUCAAGUUAUUAAGGGUGCAGGGCGGAUGCCUUGGCACUAGGAGCCGAUGAAGGACGUGAUAAGCUGCGAUAAGCUUCGGGGAGUUGCACGUAAACUUUGAUCCGAAGAUUUCCGAAUGAGGAAACUCACUUAGAGUAAUGUCUAAGUAUCAUUAAGUGAAUACAUAGCUUAAUGAGGGGAACUCAGGGAACUGAAACAUCUAAGUACCUGAAGGAAGAGAAAGAAAUUCGAUUCCGUAAGUAGCGGCGAGCGAACGCGGAAGAGCCCAAACCAAUAAAGUUUUCUUUAUUGGGGUUGCGGACAUAUCAUAACGAAGAGGUAUCGUAAUUGAAGAGGUUUGGAAAGACCCACCACAGAAGGUAAUAGUCCUGUAUGUUAAACGAGAA